AAUAGGUUCAUCACCUAUUUGAACAUCUUCGGCCCAAAAUGGGCCAAGAAAGUCAACCACAAGUAGGCCCCUUUAAAGGGUUAAAUAACAGCCCAUACGACUCACUUGUAACCAGUAAAAAAUUUAGAAUUGUAGAGCUUUAUCUUAUAUUCUCUAUUAGCUUCAUAUAGCAGCCAUCAAAUGCCUUUCGUUCUUGGAUAUUAUUCUUCUAUUCAAGCUUAGUUGAAAUAGGGUUCAAGCUCUUGAAGAAGUCCAAGUUAGGAGAAGUAAAAAUCUCCACCAAGUAAGCUAAGUUGGAGAGGACAACCUAAACAUUAAAGAAUAAAAGUUUUCUCAAGUGGUAUUUCUAUUUAGCAAGAGGAUGUUCUGGUGCUUUAUAAACGUUGGGACAACCAUGGAGGAGUGUAACAUCUAUCUUCAAUUAUGAGUUCAUUGAAGCAUUUUAAGUGUAAUAUAAAUCAAAACUCACAAGAUAGUGAUCGUAAGUCAUGAGUUCACAUUUUCCCUGCCACAUAGUGAUGUUUAGGAACUAUUUGAUGUAUAGUAUGAUACGAUAUGUUGCAGGAUGUAUGAAGAAGUUGUGGAGAUAUUAAAAGUUAUAAAUAUUGCAGGGUAUGGUUUAUAUGAUACACCACUUAAUUUGGUGUUGUGAGAGUACCUUACUAAUUAUCCGAGAAAAUAAAGAAAGGAUAAAAGAGGAAAAUGGUCUUGAUUUACUUCAUAGAAAUAGCAAUUUUUUAUUCUGAUAAUCCAUUUCACUAAAUAUAAGAUUCUAGAUGACCAUAAUUAGUAGAAAAUAAAUAUCGUACAUUCUAUAAAUGCACAUAGGGUAUGUUAGUAUGAUGAAAAUCUUUCAUUAUUAGUACUGCAUGCGUCUCAUAUUAGUUAAUACCAUAUUAUAUAUACAUAUUUCAAAUUAUUCGUCCAUUUAGUAAAUAAAGAUAAAAUUAAUUAAAAGCUUCUCAAUUUACCGCUGCAACUAAUAUGUUUUGAAAGUGUAAAAACAAAUUUGUAAAGUUUCAAGUAUUUAAAGGGGUAAAUUAGUAAAACCAUCCUUCUUAUUUUUUUUAAGAAGCCUGCUAACGUGAAAGUGACCAGCAAAUAUGUGUCGGAGGGAGUACUCCUAACUACUCUCUUCAUUUCAACUUAUUUGACUUGUGUAUUAAAAAUAAUUAUUUUAAUUCACUUAUAUAAUUUAUAAAAUUAAUAAAAUUAAGAGAAUUUUAUCAUAUUUUUUUUCUUUUUAUCCUUAGUAUUAAAUAACUAAAUAAAAUAGUAAUAGUUAAAUAUAGUAUUUAAAAGUAUCAUAAAUAGGGUUGAAUUGAUAAAAUAUACAUUUAAUUAAAGUUUCGUUAAUAAAUCUAUCAGGUCAAUAGAGAUCAAGUAAUAUGAAAUAGAUAGGAAAGGAUCCCCUCCAGUAGAAUUGAGUCUAGAAAUGCACAAAGCUACUUUUUAUUUAUGCCAGGUAUACAAAGACAA